CACUUCCAGGGAGAUGUCACAGACUUCCGGGUUCUUUCCUGCACCCUCUGGAGCCCCGUGGGUCUCCGUCCCACACCAGCACCCGCAGCCCUGCAGCAGUGCGAGACGAUGUAUCUGGGGGAUGGGAGGCUGGCAGAGAACAUACCAGGUCCUUCCCUUUUACUCGAUGUUGUCAGUUUGGACUCCAACCAACUCCUGUUUAGAAUAUUUCAGAAGAAAACUAUGAAAAACAACUGGCAAAUAGGAUGAAGGGCUUAGUAUGGAAUUUCAGAAUUUCCGGCCCGUCCCACUCACCUUCCAGGCUCACCUAACCCCAGGCCUCACAAGAACCUCGUUUGAUGCCCCCUGUACCUCCCCUCGGUGCUCCCCACAACUGCCUUGGUUCUCUUGCAGCCUGGAAUGGCCGUCUCCUCCUCAUUACUGGAAGCACACUCACCUUCCAGGAAGUCCUCCAGAACUGCCGUGUCUCCCCUUGGCUAAGCUCCUGAAUUAAGCCAGCAUGUUCACAGUGGAGGGGCACGGUUGCAUUACCCAUCUGUGGUGUGGGGGUUUGUCUCACUAAGCAUCUUGAGAGGACAGACUAUAAUCUGCUACAUCUUAGUGCCCGCAUACGGAGCAGGGAACAGCUUCCUGUUCCCAGGGAAGCAAAAGUACCAACAGCCACACCAGCAUAGAUUUGAUGAAGACUCACAUCUCUGAUCUCAUCUGAACCCCGUAACAGCCCCAUGAGGAAGUCUUCCCAUUCUACAGAUGUGACGACUGACACUGAGAGGCUAAGGGAGUCUCACAAGACCAGCAGAGUACCAUCAAGGGACCUUCAGAGAUUCUAUUCAGAACAGAAGAAUCACCUAGCAAAGCCCAUGCUUCAUUUCUG